AAACGUGCCCGGAUGACUUGUGAAUAGCGGAGAAAUUCCAAUCGAACUUGGAGAUAGCUGGUUCUCCUCGAAAUAGCUUUAGGGCUAGCGUGUAGUGUUAAAUAAUGGUGGUAAAGCACUGAAUAUGGAAUGGCCUCGCCUAGGGGUACUGACUAUAAUCAAACUCUGAAUACCGUUAUGAAUUGCUAUGCAGUCGGAACCGGGGUGCUAACGUCCCGGCUCGCGAGGGAAACAACCCAGAUCGUCAGCUAAGGUCCCAAAAUCGUGUUAAGUCAGAAAGGUUGUGAGGUUUCAUAAACAACUAGGAAGUUGGCUUAGAAGCAGCCAUCUUUUAAAGAGUGCGUAAUAGCUCACUAGUCAAGAGACCUUGCGCCGACAAUGUAACGGGAGUAAAACACGAUACCGAAGCUACGGGUACAUUUAUGUACGUUAGAGGAGCGUUCUUAGGGCAAUGAAGCUAGACUGUAAAGACUAGUGGAGCGCUAAGAAGUGAGAAUGCCGGUAUGAGUAACGAUUCGUAGUGAGAAUCUACGACGCCUAUUGGGGAAGGUU
rnacentral:rRNA from 1 species